rnacentral:rRNA from 1 species
UCCGUGCAAAGGUAGCAUAAUAAUUUGUUUUUUAAUUGUGAACUAGAAUGAAUGAUUAAACAAAAUAAAAUCUUUUUUAAUUUAGUUAAUUUGAAUUUAACUUUUAAGUGAAAAGGCUUAAAUUUUUUUAUAAGACGAUAAGACCCUAAAAUUUUUAUAUAUUUUUUUAAUAGUAGAAUAAAUUAAUGUUAAAGAAUUUAGUUGGGGUGACUCUUAAAUAAAAUUAUUAAUUUUAGGAUCUUUGAAACUUUAUGAGGAUUGCUGAUUUAUUAAAAAUAAAUAAGGUUUAAAAUACUUUAGGGAUAACAGCGUAAUUUAUUUUUAAGAUCUUAUUAAUAAAUAAGUUUGCGACCUCGAUGUUGAAUUAAAA